AACGAACGCUGGCGGCAGGCCUAACACAUGCAAGUCGAGCGCGCCUUCGGGUGAGCGGCGGACGGGUUAGUAACGCGUGGGAACGUACCCUUCUCUACGGAAUAGCCUUUGGAAACGAAGAGUAAUACCGUAUACGCCCUUUGGGGGAAAGAUUUAUCGGAGAAGGAUCGGCCCGCGUUAGAUUAGAUAGUUGGUGGGGUAACGGCCUACCAAGUCUACGAUCUAUAGCUGGUUUUAGAGGAUGAUCAGCAACACUGGGACUGAGACACGGCCCAGACUCCUACGGGAGGCAGCAGUGGGGAAUCUUAGACAAUGGGCGCAAGCCUGAUCUAGCCAUGCCGCGUGAGUGAUGAAGGCCUUAGGGUCGUAAAGCUCUUUCGCCUGUGAUGAUAAUGACAGUAGCAGGUAAAGAAACCCCGGCUAACUCCGUGCCAGCAGCCGCGGUAAUACGGAGGGGGUUAGCGUUGUUCGGAAUUACUGGGCGUAAAGCGCACGUAGGCGGAUUGGAAAGUUGGGGGUGAAAUCCCGGGGCUCAACCCCGGAACUGCCUCCAAAACUAUCAGUCUAGAGUUCGAGAGAGGUGAGUGGAAUUCCAAGUGUAGAGGUGAAAUUCGUAGAUAUUUGGAGGGAACACCCAGUGGCGGAAGGCGGCUCACUGGCUCGAUACUGACGCUGA
rnacentral:rRNA from 1 species